rnacentral:pre_miRNA from 1 species
AAUAAGUGUAGUUUUACACUAUUCACGUUCAACGUUUGACCGUUCAUCUUAUUUGAAAUUUUUUUAUGAUUAGUAUUUUUAUUGCUAUUAGAUGAUAAAACAUGAAAAGUAUUUUAUGUGUGACUAAAUAUUUUUAAAUUUUUCAUAAAAUUUUUAAAUAAGACGGACGGCCAAACGUUGGGCACGGAUAUCCACGGCUGCACUUAUU